rnacentral:rRNA from 1 species
GGGCCCGCACAAGCGGUGGAGCAUGUGGUUUAAUUCGACGCAACGCGCAGAACCUUACCAGCUCUUGACAUUAUACUUGCGAACUGUGGAAACAUGGUUCUCACUUCGGGUGGGGUAUAACAGGUGCUGCAUGGCUGUCGUCAGCUCGUGUCGUGAGAUGUUGGGUUAAGUCCCGCAACGAGCGCAACCCUCAUCUUCAGUUACUAACGGGUAAAGCCGAGGACUCUGGAGAAACUGCCGGUGAUAAACCGGAGGAAGGUGGGGAUGACGUCAAGUCCUCAUGGCCCUUAUGGGCUGGGCUACACACGUGCUACAAUGGCGGUAACAAAGGGACGCAAGAUCGCAAGGUGGAGCGAAUCCCAAAAAGCCGCCUCAGUUCGGAUUGUCCUCUGCAACUCGAGGGCAUGAAGUUGGAAUCGCUAGUAAUCGUAGAUCAGCAUGCUACGGUGAAUACGUUCCCGGGCCUU